UACGUAGGGUGCGAGCGUUAAUCGGAAUUACUGGGCGUAAAGCGUGCGCAGGCGGUUGUGUAAGACAGGCGUGAAAUCCCCGGGCUCAACCUGGGAACUGCGCUUGUGACUGCACGGCUAGAGUACGGCAGAGGGGGGUGGAAUUCCACGUGUAGCAGUGAAAUGCGUAGAGAUGUGGAGGAACACCGAUGGCGAAGGCAGCCCCCUGGGCCGAUACUGACGCUCAUGCACGAAAGCGUGGGUAGCAAACAGG
rnacentral:rRNA from 1 species